CUUUACAUAGAUUGAAUAAUUAAGGACUUAAAUUUGUUUCUUUAGAAGGAAAGGAGUGGGCCAAGUCACCCCAUAUUUCAGGCCACAUUUAGAGAGGUUAUUAGGGAUUAAAAAAUUUCUGGUAUUAAGGACGGCGUAACAUCAAGGGUUUUGGCAACAUUAACCGAGAGAAGGGAGAAGUAGAAUUUCCAAGUUUACAUCAUAUUCAGAUUUUGAUCGUUCAGAGGCUCUACGCAAGGGGAAGACAGUAGUUUGAUUGUUCGUGGCAUCCGCUCGGCAUUGAGAUUACGAUCCAGGCUCCAGUUCUACACCCUGUGGCUGAUACGCGAGGGUGACAUCUUUCCGUCAUUCAGGGUGAGCUACUUGAUUAUCCGUGGCCGAUGAAGGACCUCCUCUAUUUAUUUCUGUUUUUAUAUCCGACAGACAAUAUGUAACCUUCGGGUAUUUUCAGACUUCUAUUCCGUACUAUGUUAGCGCUCUUGUACCCUUUGACCAGAUUUUGGGAUUAUCGUGACAUUUCUAGUGAUGAUAAGUAUU